UUAGAUGAGGUCAUGAGGGUGAGGCCCUCACUGUGGGAUGUGUCCCUAUAAGAAGAGGAAGAGACACCAGAGCCCCCUCCCGCUGUCCCCUUCUCUCUCUUCCUUUCCCAUGUGAGGACACAGUGAGAAGGAGGCCAUCUGCAAGCCAGGAAGUGGGUUCUCUUCAAGAACUGAGUCUGCCAGCCUCUUGACCUUGGAUUUUCCAGCAUCCAAAAUUGUAAGAGAUUAAUGUUUAAGCCAUCUAGUCUGUCAUAUUUGUCACAGCGGCUCUAUCUGACUAAGACAGACAUUGCUAAACUGGCUUACCAAGAUUAUUGCUAAAGGCAAGCCAAAGACUUAGACAUCAAAGGUGAGGGAUGAGGAACAUGAUCAGAUAUCAAGGGUGAUCAGAUAUUUCAGGUGGGGAAUUUUCUGCUAAGGUGACUUAGGACUCUUUGCCAAAGGCAGGCCAAAGACAGGGCUAAAGAGGAGGCCUGGUUGAAAAGAGGGCUUGUUGGAGACUGACUAAAUUUUAGUCAAGGAGGGAAUCUCUUUCAGGCCUAGUUGGCAUAGUUUUGCUCAUUAUGUUUGGCAUCUGCCACACCCCUGUGUGAUCCUCAUUUGCAUAGGCAGGCACAUCUGGUGGGAACCCUAAGUUGAUGUAAGUGGUGGGGGGAAGGUGCCGUUAGAAUCACCUGGGGAGCAGCUUUAACACUUAUCUAUGCCUGGGUCCUAUACCUAUUAAAUCUGAAUUGAUGAGGGGAUGGGGCAUCUAAAUAUUUCACAUGCUUUCCUGGUGACUCUCAUUAUCAGCCAGGUUGGAGACACACAGGUUUACACUACGAAUUGACCAAGAGGGUGCUAGAAAGGGAAUGGAAUUGAUUGUUGGGAAGGGGGUGGGGAGAAGUUGGGGAUGCUGGAGGGGAUCCGAUGUCAACUUUGCUCCCUCUCCCCAUAGACGGGGGUUCUCUUUGCAUUUGGAGACUACCAGGACUUGUGUAUUUGGCAAAAUAGCAAAGUUCUUGGCGGAGACACCCUGCAAUCAAAAACAAUUAACAGGAAAAAAAAGUUUAAUAACACGUGUACCUCCUGUAUACAUGAGAGAGACCCAAGAAAACCGAGUAACUCCUUGAAAGGGCCCAAGGCAUCACCUUAAAUACCAUCUCCAGGUGCCAGUGUCUUUCCAUUCUCUAACCCAGGGAUGGCAAACUUAUGCUUGGUCCCGGUGAAGAGAGGCUCUGCUUAUUUAUUUCCUAAGCUGGGAAGCUGCCAUUUGGAGGUUACUAGCUAUUUUUAGUGAACACAUUGAUUUACUUUAGGACUUUAUUACUUUCUUCUGGGCAAGUCACCAGAAUGGCCCUUUAGUUACAAAACUAUGGAUGACAACAUGCCCAUUGUCAUAGGAUACUGACACUUGUUAGGAGAGAAUGGGGGGGGCAGCAGGACUUCUAUCUGAGAUCCUGAAUUUCUCUCUGAGAUCAUGACUUUUUCAAUUUGAGGCCCAAAGUUAUUGCAACAUAACUGGGAUGGACUCAGGUGGCCCUGGCCCAUUCCAGGAGUUGGGAUAGGACAGCAAAACUCCAGAGAUAAAAAGCACUAUCAAGGUAGAAGCAGACAGGACCAGGUGGCUGGCCUCUGCUUUGGGGGGUAUUGUGGUACAAGGGGAGUUGGGAGACAUUUCUGCUGAGUCUUUGAAGCCACUGAUAUAAAAUCUACCUCAACAUAGCACCUCCUGGGGGCAAGUUUAAGCCACAAACCAAAGAUGCAUGUGUAUAAAAAAGUUGGAAGUGUCAUGGCCUACUUUAUCUAGAAACAUUUGUCUGGGGCAACCAUGUCCCAUUGUUCUUAUGGAAUAUGACUGGCUCAGCAGUCAAGGUUUUAUACAUCCCUCAGUAUCCAUGGGGGAUUGGUUCCAGGACCCCCAUGGAUACAAAAAUUUCAUAUGCUCAAGUCCCUUAUAUACAAUGACACAGUAUUUGCAUAUAACCUAUGCACAUCCUCCCGAUACUUUAAAUUAUCUGUAGAUUACUUAUAAUAUCUAAUACAAUUUAUAUGCUAUGUAAAUGGUUGUAAAUAUAAUGUAAAUGCUAUGUAAACAGUGGCCAGCAUGUGGCAACUUCAAGUUUUGAUUUUUGGAACUUUCUGUAAUUUUUAGUCAAAUAUUUUCAAUAUGUGGCUGGUUGGAUCUGCAGAUGUGGAAGUCGCUGAUACAGAGGGCCAAACAUAGUGUCUCAGGGAGUGUAUUUGAUACCCUGUGUUCUAAAGGACUACAAAUAAAGGAUGACUUUACUGUCUAAAAAACUCAAGUCAUAAUAAUUAAACAUUAAAAAAAAUGUUAAAAUUUGUAUUCUGAGUUGGGGAAGUGGCAUGUACUUAUGCAUAAUAUAUAUAUAUAUAUA